ensembl:lncRNA
CCAGAUCAUUUAACAUCCAAGUGUUUUCAUUCCAUGUAACAAAAAUAAUUACAUUGUUCUUUGUUCUAAGAGCCGUACAAUAUUGAAAUAAAAAAACCGGAACAUUAAUUAAUCAACGAAACACACAUAAAUUCACAUCAACAGCACAGACAUGUUGAAGUCAACAGCAGAAUUGUUGUAUAUUACACAACAGAGCACAAGUGGUUCCCCUGUCACAGAGUAGAAUAAAUAGAAUUAUAUAGAUCCGUAGUAAAAUUAGUGGCUGGUUUCUUUCUAUAUUUUAUAUUUCUGUAUCAGCAUGUGAUAUUUCUGAAUAGGUUGGUCCUCUAUCUAAUCUACAUUCCAUUGUGGUGUUGUAUAUUUUUUAACAGUGUCAGUCAACCAUAUUAAACCAGAGUCAAACAUAUCUUUAUCAAAUAUAAUAUAUUCGUUGAUUUAAGUGAAUAACCUAUUAAUGACGUUGGAAUGACAUUUUUUUCCCAGGGGCCAACUAGGUCAACUAACUAUCUCAAAGGAAGCAAGCAUAACAAAUCCUAUACCCCUAUUUUAGAUUUCCCCUGGGGUAUCAACACAAAUUACAAUCAAAUCCAACCACAGUCACAUUCAACAGAUAGCUGCAAACAAGAAACAACAGGAAGUCAGAUAUAAUUCUCAAAUCUUUCCCUGCUAUGUAAUUUAAAUGAUAUACCAACCCAACUGUAAUUUAAAUGAUAAACCCAACUGUAAUUUAAAUGACAUACCAACCCAACUGUAAUUUAAAUGACAUACCAACCCAACUGUAAUUUAAAUGAUAAACCCAACUGUAAUUUAUAUGACAUACCAACCCAACUGUAAUUUAAAUUAUAAACCCAACUGUAAUUUAAAUGACAUACCAACCCAACUGUAAUUUAAAGUAUGAACCCAACUGUAACUGAGGUGAGACGGAGGGUCCACACCAGGGAUCAUCAACUAGAUUCAGCCGCGGUCUGAUUUUUUUCUGGAGCAGAUGGUCGGGGGGCCCGGACCAUAAUAACAAAUCAUUUGUAGACUGCAAAUUGACAGUAAGAAUCCAAAACAGUUGUAAUGUUUGCCUCAAACAUAACCAUUUCAAACCUUGCUUACAUUUGUUUACGAUUCCAUGUCUCUCUCGCUCUAUGCGUGGGUAUACUUGGGAAGAGAUCAAUUAAAAUCAAUUGGAGCUGAUUUCCUGGUGUUUUUACAGUCUCCCCCCCCCAAAAAAAAAAUGUGGCUCCGAAAACUUGGGGAGCCAAAUUCGUCCCUUAGACUGGCUGUUGGCAAACCCUGGUUGACACAAGGAAUGUAGAAAUUGGACUGCUGAGGCAUCUCUGUACACACACACUCACACACACACACACACACACACACACACACACACACACACACACACACACACACACACACACACACACACACACACACACACACACACACACACACACACACACACACACACACACACACAAACACACACAGGUUAUUCACAAACCACUGUAGCUGUGUAGCCAUUAAAGAAGUCUAGGUUAGUGUUACAUGUACAUUAUUACAACUGUUUAUAUUCAUACACACGGUUAAUGUCAUGUACAUUUCAUCUCAUUAUUACAUUUGACAAAACAGGCCAGUGCUCUUUGAGGGAGGGAACAUUCAGAUGGGCUAAAGAUGAGGGAAAAAAUGUCAUUGACUGGGGAGGGUUCCAUCUCUUCGUCUCCUCUAUCUACAGGACAUUCAUAUAUCUGGUGUCUAGCUAUUGGACUGGAAACAUAGCAGACAA